GAGACAGUUCGGUCCCUAUCCGUCGCAGGCGUAGGAAAUUUGAGAAGACCUGUCCUUAGUACGAGAGGACCGGGAUGGACGUACCUCUGGUGUACCAGUUGUCCUGCCAAGGGCAUGGCUGGGUAGCGAUGUACGGAAUGGAUAAGCGCUGAAAGCAUCUAAGCGCGAAGCCAACUUCAAGAUAAGAUUUCCCACCGCAAGGGUAAGACCCCAGAAAGACUAUCUGGUUGAUAGGUCGAAGGUGUAAGUGCAGCAAUGUAUUUAGCUUAUCGAUACUAAUAGGUCGAGGACUUGACCAAU
rnacentral:rRNA from 1 species